GUUGGGAUCGGAGUCUGCAACUCGACUCCGUGAACGUGGAAUCGCUAGUAAUCGUGGAUCAGCCACGCCACGGUGAAUACGUUCCCGGGCCUUGUACACACCGCCCGUCACACCACGAAAGCCUGUUGUACCCGAAGCUGGUGAGCUAACCCGUAAGGGAGGCAGCUAUCUAAGGUAUGACCGGUGAUUGGGGUGAAGUCGUAACAAGGUAGCCGUAGGGGAACCUGCGGCUGGAUCACCUCCUUU
rnacentral:rRNA from 1 species